AUUCCAAAAUCAUAAACAAUUAUAAAGGGGGAAAAUGUUUUCAGUAAAAUUAAACAAAUUUUCAAUUGAAGCUAAUGCUUUAAAUCUGACAAGAGAAAUGGCUUUGGCUUGGCUUUGUGAGUGUAAUACAUAAAAGUAAACUAAAGUAAUUUACAUAAUAUACAAAUAGGUAAAAGUAAUAUUUUGUGGCAAAUUUGUUCGGAAAACCUCCCAAUGCAAAUUACACAUGAGCAGCAGAAAAUUUUUAAUAGUUUCAAAUCAUCCACAGGACAUUUGGCAAAAAGGACAAACGCAUACACAUGCGUUGUAAAUACGAAAAACACAUUCAAAACUAAUGCUACUAAAGGAUAUUUAUUUACAAACUCAUUCACACAUUAGGAGACACAUGCAUACGUAUGGCUGUAUGUCUGUCUGUCUGUGUGUUUAUGCAUAUAAAUGCACAUAUGGGCACAAGUGUUGGUCUUAUGUAUGUGUGCGUCUGUGUGUAUGUGUAUUGGCAAGUGUUUGAUAUUAUCAUAAACAAAUGCAAUAAAUUUGUAAAAUGUGCAAUUAUUUUCCAAAACAUAACAGUGCCCCAGAGAGUGAUGAUACCACACAACCGAGUGCCAUAAACAAAUGCUGCUGUUGAUCAUGAUGCUGCUUUGCAAAGAUGAUGAUGAUAAUGAUGAUGCUAUAAAUAUACAACAACAAUGACCAAAGGAUUUUUUGCCAUUGUAUUUAUUGUUUAAAACAUAAACUUCCUUUAGAAUUAUGCAUUCGUAUUACGCAUGUGAGCAAUGGAAAUUGUGUUGAUAUCCUUUGUUAUUGCAACAGAGUUCUUUGCCCGGCUCCCACAAAUUCAGUGUUUUGUAUUCUCAAACCUUUAAAAAAAUAUAAACGAUAUUGAAGGCUA